UUAAUAAUGAGAACGUUGAAGUAUAACUUGUAUUUGGUCACCUAAGUUAUAUGGAGUUAGUGGUGAAACCUCCUCAUAUUUAU
rfam:Acetohalobium arabaticum DSM 5501, complete genome.